GCGGGAAUAGCUCAGUGGUAGAGCACGACCUUGCCAAGGUUGGGGCCGCGGGUUCGAUCCCCGUUUCCCGCUCCA
rnacentral:tRNA from 1 species